GACGUAGGGGGCGAGCGUUGUCCGGAUUCACUGGGCGUAAAGGGCGCGUAGGCGGCUACGGAAGUCCGGCGUGAAAACUCACGGCUCAACCGUGAACCUGCGUCGGAUACUCCGUUGGCUAGAGGACGGUAGAGGUGAGUGGAACUAGCGGUGUAGCGGUGAAAUGCGCAGAUAUCGCUAGGAACGCCGGUGGCGAAGGCUGCUCGCUGGGCCGAUCCUGACGCUGAGGCGCGAAAGCUAGGGGAGCGAACCGG
rnacentral:misc_RNA from 1 species